GUCAAUAUAUCGAAACGAGAGAACAAAUUCAAUGUACAUUUAAAAAUAAAUGUUGCGCGAACUCAUAAAACAAAAACAAACCAAUAAAAGUUCAAAGAUUGAUUUCGAAUAUUAGAGAAGAUUACCAUAUUGUCUAUUCAAGGAAGUUGAAGCUUUACGAGGCGGGCGGCUCCUUAUUUGCGCAAUAAUGUCUCGUUAUUACCAUCCCGCAAUCUCGUCAAAGUUACCGAUCGAUACUUUAUGUUCUUUGCCUUGUAAACGAAAGAUUACAUUUCGUUUUUGACAACAGGUAUACGUUUUGUUUAUUACAUUUGUAAGUAAAGAGCAUACUGCUCUUAAUCGUCAGCAAUGGCAUUUUUUUAUUUUUUUUACCUACCUACCUAUGCAGAUAGCCUUGAGAGGCUAUUUCAGCUUCGCCCUAACGUUUGUAGGUGAGCUCACGGGGCUCAAACCUGACUACGAUGCUAACACGAACCCUAGCAAGAGCCGUGCUUCGCAGAAUCUGCCACCGGAUCGGAAACGCGACCCGCUGAGAAGAUCCGGCGAGAAACUCAGUGGGCUAGCAAUGAACAGCUAAGCCGCUGUCAAAAAUAAAUAAUUAUAAAAUAAUAAUAAUAUGUAUUGCCAAAUCCCAAA